rnacentral:lncRNA from 1 species
GCAUUGAUUUCCAACUUGGAGGCUACUUCCUAGAUAGAGUCACAAAAAGCAUAGAACAGUCCAAACAAAAGGUAGUUAAGAGAAUUAUGAGUGCAAUUUUUCUUUUUUGAAUAAAAGAAUUAUGAAUGCAAGUGAUAAACAACAAUCAUGCAUCAAUGAGGAUUACAUAACAUAUUAUUAUUGGUCACAUAUUAAUGUCACUUGUUUAUAUUUAUGAUCAAUAAUGUUAUUAUUUUAAGUUUGCUUGAAACCCUACAUGAAUUUUUUUAUUUAGAUUAGUUUAGAUAAUAAGCAUGGUGAUGUGUAUAAACACAGCCCACAAAGUGGGGUUUGAAAUCCAAAAUAAACAGUUUCUUCCAUAAGAGCCUCUCCACCCAUCAAAAAAAUUGGAAUAUUGGCUUUGAUUUCCAACUUGGAGGCAAUUGAACCAGAAAAUUCACAAAUUAUUGAAACAAAAGGUGGUUACUUAGUUAGCACUUAUACAUAGAAUUUGUCCCUUGAAACCACUCAAAAAGGAUGAUAAAAGAUAUUAUUUUAGGCCACAUAUUGAUAUGAUCUACAAAGUUAAUAAUGCCAUUAUUAUAUAGUUUAAGGCUCCAAACUAGUCUUAGUAAUACCAUGCUUUUGCUUGCUGAUAAAAACACAGUUCAUGUGACCUCAAAGUGGGGUUUGGAAUCAGAAAAUAAACAAUUUGUGAAUAUUGUUGGAGAACAUUGCAUGUGCUGCAAACUAGAGGCUCCAUCUCCAAUAUAGAAAUAGAUGUCUGAAACUAACAUGUUAGACCAUUUAUGGUUCGGAUCAGGAAGGAAAUUAAACUGUUACAAAAAUUUGGUAAAACUGAAAUUCAAAUGUUUGUCGCAAACCGGACUGGUAUAUAUGUUCAGUGCACCAUUUCUUUGGUCAUGAACCAAAUCAGAAUUACCUUCACAGAAAACCGAACUGUGACAAUUAGUCCACAAACUGAAAUUUUAGUUCGUUGGUUUUGCGUUGUUUUUAACAGUCCUACUAAAACAUGUCAGACACUAGACACGCUUUCAAUUUCAAAUGUCGGUGUUGCAUAGAUAAUGGUAUAUGGAAUAAAUAAUUUUUAAAAAACACAGAGGAAAAAGGAAGACCUUCCCCUCCAUAGACUAUAAAAAAUACCUUAACUUCGUCCACAUCCACCUUCAGAAAGAGGACAUCUUGAUAGGUCGAUGCCAAUUCUUCAAAGAAAGGGUCCAUAGCUAUAGAAGGCACGCACCAAUAAGCAGAAAAAUGAACCAUAACCUGCAAAUAUUUUAUGAACAAAAUAAAAGAGCUAUUAUUAAUAUAACUAUAUAGAUUAAUGCUAUAUGAAGCUGAAGCCAUAAACAACCAAUUGUUAUAAUUUUACAUGCAAACAAACUGAUUAAUAAUUAAAUAAAUCACCAUAAAAUUGAUGAGACUUACAGGGUAACCUUUAUUGGUAGCUUCAAAGAUGUGGUGUUCCCAUGAUUUCCUUGAGUCAAUUUUCACAACUUUAGACUUUUUGUGCUGUUGUUGACCACCCAUUAUUUUCUACUUCUUCAAAAGGGUGUUAUGUGUGUGUGUGUAUAUAUACACACAAUCUAGAUAGAUAUAUAUGAGUCCUACACACACAGACUAUAUAUACUGUAGAAAUAAGACAAGAAUUGAAUUGACUACGAUAUAACCAAUCUUAUCUAGCUGGGGCCAUUAUGUUACCAAUUCUUCAGCUAUGCUCAUGUGGUUCGUGCACCAAAUUAAGUUACAAUUAGACAGACGCAUUUGUCAUAUAUUCAUAAUAAUAAUUUGAAAAAGAAACAAAGAAUGUUCAAAUUAAAGAACUCUUCUUGCUAGUUGUCAGAUUUGUUCAAUAUGACUCAUGUUAUGUUAUGUCGACAUGCAAAAACACAAAAAAUUGGCAACUUCUAGUUUCAUGUCAGUUUUGUUAUUUUGUGUGUUGUGGAGAAUGGACCAUAUAAACAUUUUCAUCUAGUUUACAAUUUUGAGGAUUUCUUUUUCCUUUUGUUUAACAUAUGAUAUGAUAGGAACAAGUGAUAAGCAAAGAAUCUAUUCUAGUAUUUUACUUUUUAUACGCUAAAAACUGCCUACAAAAUCUUGAACCAUAAGGUUUCUUAUUCCUAUGAGGAACUAACAGUUUUGGAUAAAGAUCAUAUCAUAUAAUGUCAUUUUCAUAUUCAAAAUCUCUUGAUUUCUUAUAAUAUCAUCAUCACAUUGACUGCCAAGUAGCACAUUUUGCACUGUGUAGGCCAUCCUUGUGUUGUGUUUUGGGUCUGCAUAUCAUAUCAUUAUACAUACCAUUAAUCAAUCUUAUCCCCGCCCUUUGAAAGUUGAAAUGGGUGUAUUUGCUCCAUCUAAUUAUUCAAUGAAUCUAAAAGUGAAAUCGAGUAAUUUGCACGUCAUUUUAAAUUUUAGGGUAACAUGAUAUUCCUAUGUCUUGCUCUAGGCCUCUAGCAGUAUUUGUUUGGUGUCCAAUCCAAAGUCAAAGUUUUAAAUUGCAGUUCCAAUUGCAUGAACUCACGUUACUCUUGAUAUUAAAGAAAAAUUGAAAUAAAUAUAACUUGAUGUACACUCAAUUGCUACCGUGAUGUGACUGGGGAUAUUGAGAAAUUUUUAUAUUAGUAACUCAAUUUGCCGUUAUGAACCAACCAUACUCAAGGUUGUGGAAACCACAAUUUAAAAUCAGUGAGCAACAUUCAUAUAUUAAUUAAUAACAUCAUUGCUAAUAAAAUUGUUUUCUAAGAUCUGAAGUCUGAACUAUCUCAUCCAAACAGCUAUAGCUUAUAAGAGAUUAGAUAAGCAUGAAGUCGAAUCAUAAUAAAAAAGAAAAGAUAACUACGGAAUUGGCAGUCAAAGAAUAAGUGUAUAUGUAUGAUGCUUUUUUCUUUUUUUUUUAAUUUUAAUAUUAAAGAAACAUCUGAUGCAUAUUUUCUAAUACAACUUGAGUUGUUUCAAUUUGCUGCUUAACUGUGAUCUUAUCCUUUUUGUCAAUAAAAACUGUGACCUUAUCCAAUCAAUCAUUGGAAGUGACAAAAUAUUCCUAGGAUUAGUCUUUCUUUUUCCAGUUUUUGAAUCCUUGGUUUAUUUAUUUGAGGUCAAACAUUUUUCAAGAUCAUUGGAUUUUGAUAUUUUGAGAAUGAAUUGAUUUUUUCAAGAUCAUACACAAAUUCCUUUUCAAUUUAUAUAAGAGAAAUGUUGUAAAAUAAAUACAUAGCAUUGAGCAGAAUAACAAAUUGAACUAUUAGAAUGGCUUUUCAACUAAAUAAUAUACUCAAUAACUUCAUAUACAAGCUACAAGCCGUUGUUAGAAUUAAUCAAACUCAUUUUCAUUUUUAUUGUGGUACUCACUCAUGCACUUGACUGCCACAAAUGGUUAAAAAAAUAUACAUCUUUGUUUCUGAAGAUCAGAAAUAGCUCAAACGAGAGUCAGUAGCACGGCCAUUGGUCUGACGACGAGGUGUUCCAAUCUCACAAGCAUUUACUCUCGAAGCAAACCGGAGUGAGCAUAGUGACUCGCCAACUGAAGAAGGAUCAGGUGAGAUGUUUACAAACAUUAACGUCUUUGAGUCUCCGCCAAGACAAGGCUGUUUAAUCAUCAUUAUAUUUGCGACGUUAGAUCACGUUCAAUGAUUCAAAGCCAAUAACAAAGAAAUCAUCAAUGUAGUGUAAAGUUUAAGAAAUGCCAUGUGAGAGAAUGAUGAUUACUUGAAGAAGAUAUGUAAGCUUUGAGUUCCUGAAUGGCACAUGAUCUUCCUUCUUGGCCAAGGCAAAUAUGACAUCACUCAAUGAUGACAAGCUUUUGUUAAUUGCCUGAUUACAAAUGAAAACUGAAGUUAAAACUAUUUUGAAAUAAAAUAAGCAUAGAUGGAAUAGAAAAUACCAUGGCUUUACAUACCUGAGUUUCUCUCAACCGGUCACCGGUUGAACCACUCUUUGAAAGACGCUCGCUACCAGCAAGGUCAAUUAGAUUCAGAACACCUUGUACUUGUUGGUCAGUACUCUGGCAGAGAAAUAAUUUAGGUUGAAUUAUGAUGCAUGUCAUUGUUGUGAUUAUGGAAGAUUGAGGGAAUGUAGAAUAGAUAUAAAAUGCAGUUUUGACUAUUAUCUUAAGAGAAACAUGAAUACCUCAUUUACACCAUAUAUUCGAAGGGUGAACACGAAAUGACUUCUUGAUGAUUGUUCAUUCAUCUGAGUUUUUCCCACAGAUCUAAGAGGCAAUAACCAGAAUAAUCAAUACAAUUAAAUUCUACAUGAAAAUGUUAAAGUUUUGUAAUUUCUAUGAGAAAGCCAACAUUUUGUUGCACCAAAAUCAUAUCAAAUUAUGUUUUACUAAACCAGUUUGUCCCUCUUAAUUUAAUAAAAAUAUAUCUCCUAAAAAUGUAGCUAUCUAAUUCUAGUUAUAAAAUGGCAAGUUCAUCAUUUGCAUUUUCCAGUGUCUUAACAAUAGUUACCUGCUAUUUGCAGCUUGAUUUAAAAGAAACGCGACCUCUUUCGCACUGUGAACAUCCACUACUGUAAGAUCAGAAACAUG